UACGGAGGGUGCAAGCGUUGUUCGGAAUUACUGGGCGUAGAGCGCGCGUAGGCGGUCUGUUAUGUCAGAUGUGAAAGUCCUCGGCUCAACCGGGGAAGUGCAUUUGAAACUGGCAGACUUGAGUACUGGAGGGGGUGGUGGAAUUCCCGGUGUAGAGGUGAAAUUCGUAGAUAUCGGGAGGAAUACCGGUGGCGAAGGCGACCACCUGGCCAGAUACUGACGCUGAGGUGCGAAAGCGUGGGGAGCAAACAGGAUUAGAAACCCUAGUAGUCC
rnacentral:rRNA from 1 species